AAAAGCUAUAAUUGAAUAUGAUGAUGGAGAUGACAAAUUUUUUUACUUUUUGACGUUAAGUGAUGAAUAAGUCGCACACAGACAAUCGUGAUAGCCCAUGUGUUUCCGAACUAUGGACGGUUAUGGUGGCGAUCUCGAAAACAUGAAACCUGACUGAAUUUUUAUUAAAUGAAAACCGGACCGCCGCGGCCGCUGCCAAAUACCUUACUUUUAAAUAGUUCAAAAUAUAUAAAACAAGCAAUUAAACAAAAAAACACAAAGCCAUGAUCAUCCAUCGCCAUCAUCAACCAAACAGCACACAGCCCAACACAGAAUUAACAUGGCCAUUCAUCAAUUAUCCUUCACAAUGGUCACUGGGCAAGAAGCAUGGGUCAUCACAUAUGUGCUCACACUUCCCAGAAGUAUCCUUCGGACAGUGCCAAGUCCUCUGCUUCCCAUCACCAACGAGUCCAACUUCAGAUCUUCGAUUGCAUCAAGGAGUUUCUCUCUUGCGUCUCCUCCCCAGUACAGUUUUGUAAUAACUUGCACCUCUUUCUGUCUUGAAACCGUAUCCAGCAUAUCAAGAACUUCGAUAUCGAUCUUCACACCGUAACUUUUCAUAAUCUCAGGCUCUCUGAACUGAGCCAGAGGAAUGAGAGGAGAACCAGACUUGGCCCAGAGUUGAUUACGAGACUUGUCAAGAGAGCUGGGAUUGACAUGGAUGAUAUAAAGAGCGUCCCCUUUAUCUGCCAAGUUAUCGAUGGCCCAUUUCAGAGCUUGCUUGCUGCUCUGCGAGAAGUCCAUAGCCACGCCUAUCUUCCUAUCGCCUGGCAUUUUCUCUCUCUGUGUCUUUGCCUUAUUAGCUACUUAACUCUUUAGGGAUUCUAUCAGGGAUGAGGAAAGCAAUGAAUUGUUGCGUGCAAGCGUUAAAAGGAACGAAUUUUCGUUUAUGUUUACAAUUUCAAAGGUUGAAAAAAAAGGAUUCCUGUUUAUGCAAAUCGUAGAAGCAAAAAUCAGAAAAGAAGUGUGAAUGAGUUCUACGGCCCUUGGAUGUUAGGAAGAACUCGCAUCUGAACCGUCCACGUAUGCAUCAAGAUCAGUUGAUGGUAUAAUUGUGUCGCUUACGAUUGCAUGGGAAAUGAUGCACCCUCUUCUCUGGAAUGUCAUGCGACUAAACCAAAAGCAACUCUAUUAAUCUGGCUUUUCAAUAACAAAAGCGUCAUCUGUUGAAAUACUUGUAUUUUUUUAAGCAUUAGAAAUUCAGAGGGGAAAAACAACCCACAUAAAAUGGAUGGAGAAAUUCCAACGUAGCCAAUAAAAAGAAAUUACAGGGAGAAGAAAGGUGGUUCGAAGUUGCUCAGCAGCUUCCUUUGUCUAUAUCUUAAUUCUGUCAAAUUGCAGGCAAGGAGUGGUUAUUAUUUUUAAAAUUGUUUCUCGAUUUGGUGUAUAUAAUUUGCAUAGUGGUUUCUAGAAGAGCCCUGAGGCCCAAAAGAAAUGGAUGUUUUCCCGGGCAGAGCUUCCAGGCUUGAAUUAUAGAAAGGUCAUCUAAAGCUUG
rnacentral:misc_RNA from 1 species